UAUGGUAAUUGUGCCGCCGCGGUAAUACGGAGGGUGCGAGCGUUAAUCGGAAUAACUGGGCGUAAAGGGCACGCAGGCGGUGACUUAAGUGAGGUGUGAAAGCCCCGGGCUUAACCUGGGAAUUGCAUUUCAUACUGGGUCGCUAGAGUACUUUAGGGAGGGGUAGAAUUCCACGUGUAGCGGUGAAAUGCGUAGAGAUGUGGAGGAAUACCGAAGGCGAAGGCAGCCCCUUGGGAAUGUACUGACGCUCAUGUGCGAAAGCGUGGGGAGCAAACAGG
rnacentral:rRNA from 1 species